rnacentral:rRNA from 1 species
CUAUUUGCGAAGUACAGCUGCGAGGCCUCGAAACUGAGCCGCUACUUUCGGUCGGGCCAACCUUGAAAUACCACCCUGGUAUGUUUGAAGUUCUAACCUAGACCCGUUAUCCGGGUUGGGGACAGUGUAUGGUGGGUAGUUUGACUGGGGCGGUCUCCUCCCAAAGAGUAACGGAGGAGCACGAAGGUACCCUCAGCGCGGUCGGACAUCGCGCAAUGAGUGCAAAGGCAUAA